rnacentral:misc_RNA from 1 species
GAAAAGGGGAAAAAAAAAAAAGAAAAAAAGGUUGUGUACAAUGGACAGCCUUCCCCAACCCUUAGAAUGUGGGGAGCCUAUGCACUGAGGAUGUCCUUUGCAUUGUCAUGUACUAGUUUUGUUCCAAAGUUUCAAAUUGUGAAUUUUAUUACUAUCUUUGUCCAAAGUUUUUUGUCCCUAUGUGAUAUAAUUUCAAAUUCUAACAUAUUUAUUUAUUUAUUUUAUGAAUUAGAAAGUGAAGAGGUUACAAAUUCUUAAUCAUCGUUGAUUUCAGGUUUAAUAUCUCAUGGACAUGUCAUUAAUUUGAAUGAAAUUUUUGUAUAUCAGGU